rnacentral:rRNA from 1 species
CGCGCUUGUAGCAAUACAAGUGGCGCACGGCGCACGGGUGCGUAACACGUGGGUAACCUGCCCUUUGGUGGGGAAUAACCUCGCCAAAGCGAGGCUAAUUCCGCAUAAGAUCCGCAAGGAUGAAAGC